UACGUAGGGUGCAAGCGUUGUCCGGAAUUAUUGGGCGUAAAGAGCUCGUAGGCGGUCUGUCGCGUCGGCUGUGAAAUCCCGAGGCUCAACCUCGGGUCUGCAGUCGAUACGGGCAAACUAGAGUAUUGCAGGGGAGACUGGAAUUCCUGGUGUAGCGGUGAAAUGCGCAGAUAUCAGGAGGAACACCGGUGGCGAAGGCGGGUCUCUGGGCAAUAACUGACGCUGAGGAGCGAAAGCAUGGGGAGCGAACAGG
rnacentral:rRNA from 1 species